rnacentral:rRNA from 1 species
AACUUUCUCAGUAACGAAGCUAACGCGUGAAGUUGACCGCCUGGGGAGUACGGCCGCAAGGUUAAAACUCAAAGGAAUUGACGGGGACCCGCACAAGCGGUGGAUGAUGUGGUUUAAUUCGAUGCAACGCGAAAAACCUUACCCACCUUUGACAUGGCAGGAACUUACCAGAGAUGGUUUGGUGCUCGAAAGAGAACCUGCACACAGGUGCUGCAUGGCUGUCGUCAGCUCGUGUCGUGAGAUGUUGGGUUAAGUCCCGCAACGAGCGCAACCCUUGCCAUUAGUUGCUACAUUCAGUUGGGCACUCUAAUGGGACUGCCGGUGACAAACCGGAGGAAGGUGGGGAUGACGUCAAGUCCUCAUGGCCCUUAUAGGUGGGGCUACACACGUCAUACAAUGGCUGGUACAAAGGGUUGCCAACCCGCGAGGGGGAGCUAAUCCCAUAAAGCCAGUCGUAGUCCGGAUCGCAGUCUGCAACUCGACUGCGUGAAGUCGGAAUCGCUAGUAAUCGUGGAUCAGAAUGUCACGGUGAAUACGUUCCCGGGUCUUGUACACACCGCCCGUCACACCAUGGGAGCGGGUCUCG